AGCGAACGCUGGCGGCAGGCCUAACACAUGCAAGUCGAACGAACCUUUCGGGGUUAGUGGCGGACGGGUGAGUAACACGUGGGAACGUGCCUUUAGGUUCGGAAUAACUCAGGGAAACUUGUGCUAAUACCGAAUGUGCCCUUCGGGGGAAAGAUUAAUCGCCUUUAGAGCGGCCCGCGUCUGAUUAGCUAGUUGGUUGAGGUAAUGGCUCACCAAGGCGACGAUCAGUAGCUGGUCUGAGAGGAUGAUCAGCCACAUUGGGACUGAGACACGGCCCAUACUCCUACGGGAGGCAGCAGUGGGGAAUCUUGCGCAAUGGGCGAAAGCCUGACGCAGCCAUGCCGCGUGAAUGAUGAAGGUCUUAGGAUUGUAAAAUUCUUUCACCGGGGACGAUAAUGACGGUACCCGGAGAAGAAGCCCCGGCUAACUUCGUG
rnacentral:rRNA from 1 species